CAGCAGCCACGGGAAAACGAAGGGGGCUAGCGUUGUUCGGAAUUACUGGGCGUAAAGGGCGCGUAGGCGGCCAUUCAAGUUAGAUGUGAAAGCCCUGGGCUCAACCUAGGAAUUGCACUUGAUACUGUUUGGCUUGAGUUCGGGAGAGGUGAGUGGAAUUCCCAGUGUAGAGGUGAAAUUCGUAGAUAUUCGGAAGAACACCAGUGGCGAAGGCGGCUCACUGGACGCGUAUUGACGCUGAGGUGCGAAAGCGUGGGGAGCAAACAGGAUUAGAUACCCCCGUAGUCCCUGUCUCUUAUAC
rnacentral:rRNA from 1 species